GAUGAGCGCUGGCGGCGUGCUUAACACAUGCAAGUCGAACGAGAAAUGUAGACGGAAACCUUCGGGCGGAAGCCUUCAUUUCGAGUGGCGGACGGGUGAGUAACGCGUGGGUAACCUGCCUCAUACAGGGGGAUAACAGUUGGAAACGACUGUUAAUACCGCAUAAGACCACAGCAUCGCAUGAUGCGGGGGUAAAAACUCCGGUGGUAUGAGAUGGACCCGCGUUCGAUUAGCCAGUUGGCGGGGUAACGGCCCACCAAAGCGACGAUCGAUAGCCGAUCUGAGAGGAUGACCGGCCACAUUGGGACUGAGACACGGCCCAAACUCCUACGGGAGGCAGCAGUGGGGAAUAUUGCACAAUGGGGGAAACCCUGAUGCAGCGACGCCGCGUGAGUGAAGAAGUACUUCGGUAUGUAAAGCUCUAUCAGCAGGGAAGAAAAUGACGGUACCUGAGUAAGAAGCCCCGGCUAACUACGUG
rnacentral:rRNA from 1 species